rnacentral:rRNA from 1 species
AGGGAAUAUUGGGCAAUGGACGAGAGUCUGACCCAGCCAUGCCGCGUGCAGGAAGAAGGCUUUCUGAGUCGUAAACUGCUUUUGACAGGGAAGAAUAAGCACUACGUGUAGUGUGAUGACGGUACCUGCAGAAUAAGCACCGGCUAACUCCGUGCCAGCAGCCGCGGUAAUACGGAGGGUGCGAGCGUUGUCCGGAUUUAUUGGGUUUAAAGGGUGCGUAGGCGGCCUUUUAAGUCCGGGGUGAAAGCCCGUUGCUCAACAACGGAACUGCCCUGGAUACUGGAAGGCUUGAGUACAGACGAGGUUGGCGGAAUGGACUGAGUAGCGGUGAAAUGCAUAGAUACAGUCCAGAACCCCGAUUGCGAAGGCAGCUGACUAGGCUGUUACUGACGCUGAGGCACGAAAGCGUGGGGAGCGAAC